rnacentral:lncRNA from 1 species
UUUUUUUUUUUUUGAGACUGAAUCUGGCUCUGUCGCCCAGGCUGGAGUGCAGUGGCCGGAUCUCAGCUCACUGCAAGCUCCGCCUCCCGGGUUCACGCCAUUCUCCUGCCUCAGCCUCCCGAGUAGCUGGGACCACAGGCGCCCGCCACUUCGCCCGGCUAGUUUUUUGUAUUUUUUAGUAGAGAUGGGGUUUCACCGUGUUAGCCAGGAUGGUCUCGAUCUCCUGACCUCGUGAUCCGCCCGUCUCGGCCUCCCAAAGUGCUGGGAUUACAGGCUUGAGCCACCGCACCCGGCCCUGAAUUUUCUUUAUGAAGUGAACAAAUGGAAUUACUUGCUGAGAGUAAGUGGAACAAGACAGUCACUCAACCUUGACGGAAAGGAGUAGUGAUCUGAAGCCCUGGAUGUCUAAACUUACUAAUAAAAUCAUGGGGAAAUGACUGGCUCCACAUAGUUGUACCCAAGUUAGCUUUGUUCAUAUGUAUUAUCUGUAGUGUGCCCUUUUUGUCUUUCUACACACCCAACUUUAUCUCCAGCAAGGCUGUUAACAACCUUAGAGUGGAGACCAGGACUAGUUUGUUCAGCGCCUAGGACAGCACAGGAAAUCUGUUUCUGCGAUUUAAUCCAUCUAUCUCCGUUCCAUCCUCCCCCACUGAGCUAAUGCCUCAUCCACAUCCCACUUGAAUCUUUUGCUAUGUUUUCAGUUGCAAUAACAGAAAAUCCCAACUUAGAUGACUGUUUUUAAAAAAGGAAAUAUAUUAUCUUGCAUAUAAGUUCAGUAGUGGGUGGCUUUGGAGCUGAUUAAUUCAGCAGUUCAACAAUGUCAUUAAAAAAUCCUGAUUCUUUCCAUCUCUCUGAUUUGAAACCUUGGCAUGUUAUUUAGCAACUUUCAUGGUCACAGGGUGGCUAUUGCCGGUCAGGCAUUGUUUCCAGACAUGGCGAUAUUCAAUGGUAAAAGAGGAAGGCCUCUUCCUGUAUGCUUAUUUUUAUCAUUCAAGAAACCUUUCCCAGAAUCUCUCCAGCAUACCUCCUCUCACAUCACAGUGGCCUGAAUUUCACCAUGCCUAUAACUAAGCUGAUCACUGGCAAGGGGGAUAAAACGACCAUGAGUGGCAUAGAGGAGCACAGACCCAUGCGGAGGAGGGUGAAAUACCUUAAAAAUGGGGAUUCUUCCCACAAGGAGGAAGAGGGAGAUGACUAUUGAGUUGGUAAGCAAUUCUGUCUUCUACAACCUUUUACUGAAUAACCCACUCCUUCCUCAUGCAGAGAUCUGAUCAUCAUUUUCUAACUGGAAGGUCUGGUUGGAGAUAUCAUCCAGGUGUACAGAAUGAGGGUGGGUAAGGACCUAAAAAUAUUUCCCCCACCAAUGUAUUAUAGGGGCCAGUAACUCCAUUAGAUAUGCAUUCCUUUGCUUUCUUACUGUUGCAUCCUCGUAAAAUGCAAGUAUUCCAGGUCAAAGUGAAACUUGUGACUGUUCUCUUCGGGAAGCUACUAACUGGAAAGAGGCACAAAGAAAUUUUCUGGGGGAAUGGAAAUGUUCUAUAUCUUAACCUGGGUGGUGGUUAUAUGUGCGUUUACACAGGUGUAUUAGUUUCCUAUGGCUGCUGUAACAAAUUACCACAGACUUGGUGACUUGAAACAAUACACGGUUCUUCUCUUACAGUUCUGGAGGUCAGAAGUCUAAAAUCAGUUUCAGUGGGCCAAAAUCAAGGUUUCAGCAGGGCCAUGCCUGAGCAGGAACAGCCAUCUUGUGGCCGUGAGAGACUUUAGGGGAGAAUCGAUUUCUUUGUCUUUUCCAGCUUCUAGAGUUGUAUUGCUUGCAUUCCUUGGCUCAUGGCCCCUUCCUCCGUCUUCAAAGCCAGCAGCCUAGCAUCUUACUUCAGGCCUCAUAUUGCCUCCUAUUUCAGAGUCAAAACUCUCUCUGC